rnacentral:rRNA from 1 species
GAUGAAUGCUGGCGACAUGGAUAAGGCAUGCAAGUCGAACGGGAAUAAUCACACGGAAGCACAAAGUAAGUUUGAGUAGCAAUACGAUGGCAAGCAAUGUGUGGAAGAGUGACAUUCUAGUGGCAGACGAGGUAGUAACACGUAGGAAUCUCCCCCAUAGUCAGGAAUAACCCGCCGAAAGGCGGACUAAUACUUGAUAUCUCGCAAGAGGAAAGAUUUAUCGCUAUGGGAAGAGCCUGCGCAGUAUCAGCUAGUUGGCAGUGUAAAAGACUACCAAGGCUAUGACGCUUAGGGGAGGUGAGAGCCUGACCCCCACCGAUGGGACUGAGACACGGCCCAUACACCUACGGGAGGCAGCAGUAGGGAAUAUUGGACAAUGGGCGCAAGCCUGAUCCAGCCAUGCCGCGUGAGUGAAGAAGGCCCUCGGGUUGUAAAGCUCUUUUGUCCGGAAAGAAAAGCACUGGGUUAAUACCCCGGUGUCCUG